rnacentral:lncRNA from 1 species
AAAUAGUGGUAAAUACGCUGUAGGUCUAGAAUUUGAGGAGCAGCUUGUGCCCUCACUCGUUAUAUGUUGGCUCCGCCCCUAUCCUCUGGGGAGAAGAGAGGCGGCUCCCAUAUCCCUAAUCCCUAAGAUCUUAUUUAGAUAGUAGUGGAUUGAAGUGGAAUGGGAGGGAUCGGAGGAAAUUAGUUCAUUUUAGACUCAAUCCCCUUCGUUCCACUUCAAUCCACGUCUAAUGAGUGUUUUAUUGGUUAAGAUUGCCAUGAACGACGACAUCACUAAUCUACAAUUGAUUUUGUUAAGCCACACAACAGGUGUUACCCCUACAUUUUGAGUCUUGGUUUCACCCCCUACAUGUCCUU